CACACUACUGCACUUUUCUGCAGAGUUUUUUACAUCUUCGACAUAGUAACAAAGAAAGUCUUUCUCAGGACGCUUGAGUACAGUUUAAAAGAGUUUUGAGUUUGUGCUAUGUGAACAGUAAAGUGAGUGCAGAGAAGUGAUCUGUCUCUUUCUCUCUCUGUUGUGAAACGGCGCCGUAUCAUCAAGGGUAAAAUGGUGGUUUGUUAAAAAAAAGCUUUAGAAUUCGGUUAAAAUAGCCUUUGAACCGUUUUCCGAAGCAGAUUGAAAAAGAAACCGAUUUAGCGUAGAAUUUUUAUUAUGUAUCUUGUGACCCUGGGGUCUUAAGAUAAAUAAUAGAGGUAUAGAAAGUAUAGGUAGAAAAAAAAAAAAAACAUUUUUAAA